ensembl:lncRNA
GAAACCACUAUGUCAAUGAGGGUCCCACUAAGAUAGUUGAACGGGGUUGUGUGUGUGUGUGUGUGUCUUUGUGUGUGUCCUCUAAUCUGUAAUCUGCCUCCAGAUUACAGUUUGCAGGAAGUCUUAAAUAAUGACAUCAUUGUGUGGCUGUGGCCCCGCCCCCUGCAUGAUAUCACUCAGAGCUGGAUCGUCUGUGAGAGCAGCAGCAUGGCCACCUUCGUCUCGCUGGUAACGUGUCAGCACUGCCCCGUCACCUCCACCCGCCGCGGCCUCAUCUACAGAGACUCUUUCUCCGCUCUGUCCAGGAACCUGAGGGCCCCCGGGGGCCCCCGUCACCCCCCGGGCCCCCGGCCGCAGGACUUCAGCCUCUACAGCCGACGCCACUGCAGGCUCACCAGACCUGAGCUCCCAGAAUCCACUGCUCUGGCUCGCUCCAAGCAGUCUCGCAGCAUGAAGCACCUGGUCCUGGCUCACCUGAGGAGGAUGCUGACUCUGAGCCCCGCACAGCAGCAGAGAGGCCUCCGCCUGCCAGGCUGACCUCUGACCCGGGACGCAGGAGGUGGUCCGGAGUUGCAGUGAGAGCUGCUGGACACCAGAGGGCGACAGAGGUUCAGACUGGGUCUGAGGUGGAGGAGAACUGGUGUGGUUACCUUUCCCUUUUCCCUCACCGCCACCCAUCACCUGUGGGAGGAGGCCGGACUUACCGAACGUCCUCGUCCUCUGCAGGGAUGAAGAGCGCAGCAGCUGUCCACAAAGUUCUGACCAGAAGCUCCUCAGUGUGGUGGGUCUGAGCCCCACAGCACUGUGGGUAAUGACUCCAGCUGCUGAAGACACUAAAUAUAAAAACACAAUUUUAUCUGCUGGAAAUGAACAAAAUGUUUAUUAUUUCUUAUUAUUUCUAAAUCUUUUCUUUGUGUUUAAGAGGUUCAGUCGUCCCUGUGAUCCUCAGAUCUGUGAGUGUGUUUGUCAAACUUUUUUAUUAAACAGACUUUAGACAAUAAUGUUUCCUCAUGUUCAGCUUAAGUAAAUGAGAUUGAUUCCUGGAAUUACUUUAGCUACUGUAAUCAGUGUUAGAUGAUUAAUAAUGUGUAGCCACAGAUCAGAGCAGCUGACUGUCUCGUGUCCUGAAGCAGGAGAAUGAACCCACAGCAGCCAAACAGCUGAUUCUGUUCAAGCGUCAAAGCUUUAUGGUGAGUCUGACACUGAACUUCCG